rnacentral:lncRNA from 1 species
CAGCAGGCUAGCACGAGCAGCAGACUGCAGGGACUGAAAAGUAGCACCAUCAGCACCACCAGCACCAUCAGCACCACCAACACCACCAGAACCACCAGCACCAUCAGCACCACCAGCACCAUCAGAACCACCAGCACCACCAGCACCACCAACACCACCAGCACCACCAACACCACCAGAACCAUCAGCACCACCAGCACCAUCAGCACCACCAACACCACCAGAACCACCAGCACCAUCAGCACCACCAACACCACCAGAACCAUCAGCACCACCAGCACCACCAACACCACCAGAACCAUCAGUACCAUCAACACCAUCAACACCACCAGCACCAUCAACACCACCAGCACCAUCAGUACCAUCAGCACCACCAACACCACCACCACAUCAUCGGCACCAUCAACACCACCAGAACCACCAGCACCACCAGCACCAUCAACAACACCAGCACCAUCAGUACCAUCAGCACCAUCAGCUCCAUCAGCACCACCAGCACCAUCAACAACACCAGAACCACCAGCACCAUCAACAACACCAGAACCACCAGCACCAUCAACACCACCACAUCAUCGGCAUCACCAGCACCACCAGCACCACCAGCACCAUCAACACCACCAGCACCACCAGCACCAUCAACACCACCAGCACCAUCAACACCACCAGCACCAUCAGCACCACCAGCACCAUCAACAACACCAGCACCAUCGGCACCAUCAGCUCCAUCAGCACCACCAGCACCAUCAGCACCAUCAGCUCCACCAGCACCGUCAACAACACCAACACCACCAGCACCAUCAACACCACCAGCACCAUCAACACCACCAGCACCAUCAGUACCAUCAGCACCACCAGCACCAUCAACAACACCAGCACCAUCGGCACCAUCAGCUCCAUCAGCACCACCAGCACCAUCAGCUCCACCAGCACCGUCAACAACACCAACACCACCAGCACCAUCAACACCACCAGCACCAUCAACACCACCAGCACCAUCAGUACCAUCAGCACCACCAGCACCAUCAACACCACCAGCACCAUCAGUACCAUCAGCACCACCAGCACCAUCAACAACACCAGCACCAUCGGCACCAUCAGCUCCACCAGCACCACCAGCACCAUCAGCACCACCAGCACCGUCAACAACACCAACACCACCAGCAUCAUCAGUACCACCAGCACCACCAGAACCACCAGCAGCAUCAGCACCAUCAGCUCCAUCAGUAUUUGUUUGUUAAAUUCAUAUCUAACAUGAUCUUUGUAUCUAAACACAUUUAUUUGAUGGUAAAUACUCGUUUUAAACUGUCUGUCAAUCAAAGAGUUGCAUUAAGUCCUUCACUCCGGAACAGCCAAUCACCUUCCAGCUCCUGUCCCUUCAGCUGA